rnacentral:rRNA from 1 species
AAACGAUGACGACCAGUCAUCCGACGGCGUUAAUUAACGACCCGUCUGGCAACUUCCGGGAAACCAAAGUUUUUCGUUUCCGGGGGAAGUAUGGUUGCAAAGCUGAAACUUAAAGGAAUUGACGGAAGGGCACCACCAGGAGUGGAGCCUGCGGCUUAAUUUGACUCAACCCGGGAAAACUCACCCGGCCCGGACACUGUAAGGAUUGACAGAUUGAUAGCUCUUUCUUAAUUCAGUGGAUGGUGGUGCAUGGCCGUUCUUAGUUGGUGGACUGAUUUGUCUGGUUAAUUCCGAUAACGAACGAGACUCUAGCCUAUUAACGUAGACCGUCAGCUUACAAACGUUGACGGGACUUCUUAGAGGGACAGGCGGCGAUUCAGCCGCACGAAACAGAGCAAUAACAGGUCUGUGAUGCCCUUAGAUGUCCGGGGCCGCACGCGCGCUACACUGAAGUGAUCAGCGUGCAUUUUCAGCCUACUCUGCCAAGAGUGGGAAACCCAAUGAACCUUCUUCGUGAUUGGGAUAGGAGAUUGUAAUUAUUCUCCUUGAACGAGGAAUUCCCAGUAAGCGCGAGUCAUAAGCUCGCGUUGAUUACGUCCCUGCCCUUUGUACACACCGCCCGUCGCUACUACCGAUUGAAUGUUUUAGUGAGGUCUUCAGACUGGCCGGCGCAGCUGCUCUCGUAGUAGCAGCGCUGUGUUUGGGAAGAUGCCCAAACUUGAACAUUU